AUUGAACGCUGGCGGCAUGCCUAACACAUGCAAGUCGAACGGUAACAGGCCUUCGGGCGCUGACGAGUGGCGGACGGGUGAGUAAUACGUAGGAAUCUGCCUUUUAGUGGGGGAUAACUCGGAGAAAUCCGGGCUAAUACCGCAUACGCACUACGGUGGAAAGCAGGGGAUCGCAAGACCUUGCGCUAAUAGAUGAGCCUACGUCGGAUUAGCUUGUUGGUAGGGUAAUGGCCACCAAGGCGACGAUCCGUAGCUGGUCUGAGAGGACGACCAGCCACACUGGGACUGAGACACGGCCCAGACUCCUACGGGAGGCAGCAGUGGGGAAUAUUGGACAAUGGGGGCAACCCUGAUCCAGCAAUGCCGCGUGUGUGAAG
rnacentral:rRNA from 1 species